rnacentral:lncRNA from 1 species
UGAAGAAGGGUGCACGGGCUUCCAGCUGGCCGCCAAAUGGGACUUCCACAGGACACAGAUUAAAUACUCGCUUCAUUGCGGGAGACGAGGGGCGGGGACAGGAGAGAAAGAAGGGACAGGCAUAAGUCACUUCUCCCGCCGGCUCCGACAGCUGGUUGCUCCGCUGAGGGGCGUUGGGUGAGGCGGAAGAGCAGACGGGGAUCCAGAAGGCGUUGUCGGUGACAUCACGGAGAGGGCGAUUUCUAUGUAGAUGAGGCAGCGCAGGGGCUGCUGCUUCGCCACCUGCUGCUUCGCCACGAAAGAGUUCCCGUGCCGUGGGAGUAAGUCUGGGACCUCUGGUCGGACCGGAGAGUCGCAGCUGUGUGUUAGGGCUAGGAUGGCUCCUGGAUGCGCGUGACGCAAGUGACCUUGCGUGUAAAGGGGCCCGCCUGGCAGGACGACUGAGCAAGUUCUUGGAAAACCAGAGAUAUUAGAGCGGUGAAUCGCGCUGGUCACGUUGGACACCUGCGCGUUAGGAGAUUCUGGAGCCAGAGGGAGAGACCCCAGAAACGCCCCGGUCGGCGACCCAGCCCGAGACGCCUGGGGUCCCAAGGGAAGCUGAACGCCCGGUGGGCUCCCGGGAUGGUUCUUCCGGUUCUUUGUGCCGCCUUCACCCAGUGAAGGAGCCUGUAUCCACCCUGCCCAGUCGCUGUUGGGCUGCUGCGGAGCUUCCGCUGCCAUCUUCGGAUCCUGUGUUCCGCCCGGGGCUCCACCAGGGCAGGGAUGGUGCAGAAUGGGGAAAUGGAGAGAGAACCUGAAAGAGCCCCAAACUCGAGGACCUAUUGCUCCCCAAGAAUAACAUCUUCCAGAACUAGACAGAAAACUAGGCGUCUGGGAACCCUGAAAUCCUUGGAGGAGUAGAUCAUCAUGACCCUCUGUGUUCCUUUUGGCAAAUGACUUGCUUCCAUUGUUUGUUUGUUCAAUUGUCUGUUUGUUAAAUAAAUAAAAC